UCACUUACCUGCCAGAGGAAAUACCAUGAUCAUUGAGGUGGUUUUCCUGUUGUAGGCUAAGAUCAAGUGUAGCAGGGUGAGGCUUGUCCCUUGCACUCUGUGCAGGCUCACCCCUGCGAUUUUCCUCAAACUCAGGAAACUCAACAAUUUUGUGGCAGUGGGGGACUGCUUUCAUACUUUCCCCCU
rnacentral:snRNA from 14 species